rnacentral:sRNA from 1 species
GCCUCAGCUGACAUCACUCUGCCAACAGCCUGAGUCCUUAGAAGUGUCGAGAAGCUGCAGCACACCGCCAGAAGUUUUAACUGGUCUGUCUCUCUCUGUUGGAGUCCCAACAAAUGCAGCUCAACUACACCAGUUUCUAGAGCCAAGAAGUUCCUGCCCAGGUUUAAACCAGUUCUAGUUGGUUUCGUCACUGGCAACCAACAAAGUCUGACUAAGUCCUCAAGUAUACUCUCCUAUCCACGGAUUGAGCAGCCCCGUGUUCACCAAGACAGCCGUCAGAAGGACCAGCAAUUUGGCAGUAGGUAAAGGCAUUUGUCCCCAAAUGUGAUGACCUGAGGUUUGAAGUUGAUUUCGUGUCCACGCAGUGGAAGGAGAGAACCAGCUCUUGUGAGUUGUCCUCUGAUCUCCACAUAUACUGUGGCCUGUGUGUGCUUCACCCCAAUGUACAACAACAACAACAACAACAACACCAACACCAACACCCGAGAAGGAGCAAACACCAGAAACAGUGCCCGGGAAGCAGCUUGCACACCGCCCAGCUCAGCCCUCUUCACUGAGUUUCUCGUCCAGCUCCAUCGUGGACAGAUAUUCAAUACUUCCUUUAGGAGAACACAUACAUUUGUUUGACUUGCAAUAUUGAAUUUGGAGGCCGUUCAGCAAUUUCAAAUUUCAGGAGUGGGGCAGUGGGGAGACACCGUAAAUUAAA